rnacentral:rRNA from 1 species
UACGUAGGGGGCAAGCGUUAUCCGGAUUUACUGGGUGUAAAGGGGGCGCAGACGGCGAUGCAAGCCAGGAGUGAAAGCCCGGGGCCCAACCCCGGGACUGCUCUUGGAACUGCGUGGCUGGAGUGCAGGAGGGGCAGGCGGAAUUCCUGGUGUAGCGGUGAAAUGCGUAGAUAUCAGGAGAAACACCGGUGGCGAAGGCGGCCUGCUGGACUGCAACUGACGUUGAGGCCCGAAAGCGUGGGGAGCAAACAGG